rnacentral:rRNA from 1 species
AGAGCGAACGCUGGCGGCAUGCUUAACACAUGCAAGUCGCACGGGCAGGGGAAACCCUGUCAGUGGCGGACGGGUGAGUAACGCGUAGGAAUCUAUCUCUGGGUGGGGGACAACCGUGGGAAACUACGGCUAAUACCGCAUGACACCUGAGGGUCAAAGGCGCAAGUCGCCUGGAGAGGAGCCUGCGUACGAUUAGCUUGUUGGUGGGGUAAAGGCCUACCAAGGCGACGAUCGUUAGCUGGUCUGAGAGGAUGAUCAGCCACAUUGGGACUGAGACACGGCCCAAACUCCUACGGGAGGCAGCAGUGGGGAAUAUUGGACAAUGGGCGAAAGCCUGAUCCAGCAAUGCCGCGUGGGUGAAGAAGGUCUUCGGAUUGUAAAGCCCUUUCGACGGGGACGAUGAUGACGGUACCCGUAGAAGAAGCCCCGGCUAACUUCGUGCCAGCAGCCGC